UACGAAGGGGGCUAGCGUUGUUCGGAAUCACUGGGCGUAAAGGGCGCGUAGGCGGCCGAUCAAGUCGGGGGUGAAAGCCUGUGGCUCAACCACAGAAUUGCCUUCGAUACUGUUUGGCUUGAGACCGGAAGAGGUUAGUGGAACUGCGAGUGUAGAGGUGAAAUUCGUAGAUAUUCGCAAGAACACCAGUGGCGAAGGCGGCUGACUGGCCCGGUUCUGACGCUGAGGCACGAAAGCGUGGGGAGCAAACAGG
rnacentral:rRNA from 1 species